GGAGAGGUGGAUGAGUGGUCGAAGUCAACUCACUGCUAACGAGUCAGCCGAGAAAUUGGCUCGCGGGUUCAAAUCCCGCCCUCUCCGCCA
rnacentral:tRNA from 1 species